GACGAACGCUGGCGGCGUGCUUAACUCAUGCAAGUCGAACGAAGUGGCGAACGGGUGAGUAACGCGGAAUCAACCUGCCCUUCAGAGGGGGACAACAGUUGGAAACGACUGCUAAUACCGCAUACUGAAGGCGGGGAUGUCGUCUGCUUAGCUAGUUGGCGGGGUAACGGCCCACGAAGGCUAUGAUCAGUAGCCUGUCUACGAGGAUGAACGGCCACAUUGUGACUGCGACUCGGCCCAGACUCCUACGGGUGGCAUCAGUGGGGAAUCUACCGCAAUGGACGAAAGUCUGACGGAGCAACGCGGCGUGAGUGAUGACGGCCUUCGGGUUGUAAAGCUCUGUUAAUCGGGACGCGGUGCCGGAAGAGAAAGCCACGGCUAACUACGUGCCAGCAGCCGCGGUAAUUC
rnacentral:rRNA from 1 species